rnacentral:misc_RNA from 1 species
AACGCACAUUGCGCCCCCUGGUAUUCCGGGGGGCAUGCCUGUCCGAGCGUCAUUGCAACCCUCAAGCGCGGCUUGCGUGUUGGGCGUCGUCCCCCGUGGACGCGCCCGAAAGGCAGUGGCGGUACCGUGCUCCGGUGCCCGAGCGUAUGGGCUUAAAACCCGCUCUUGUGGCCCGGCCGGCGCUGGCCUCGACCCCCAAAUUAUUCAGGUUGACCUCGGAUCAGGUAGGGAUACCCGCUGAACUUAA